rnacentral:rRNA from 1 species
GACAGAGGUGCCGAGCGUUAGGCGGAAUCACUGGGCUUAAAGCGUGUGUAGGCGGCCCGUUAAGUGUCUUGUGAAAUCCCGCGGCUCAACCGCGGAACGGCUGGGCAUACUGACGGGCUUGAGCGAUCUAGGGGCAGAUGGAACAAGUGGUGGAGCGGUGAAAUGCGUAGAUAUCAUUUGGAACGCCAACGGAGAAAUCAGGUAGCUGGGGGGUGUGCUGACGCUGAGACACGAAAGCCAGGGGAGCGAACGGG